GAGAAGUAUGGAAAUACUAAUUAGACUACAAAUUAUUACAUCUAUCACAUUUCAGACGUUUAAUCUUUCCUUGUCAUAUUCAAUUAUACUUUCAAAUGCAUUUUCGAAAAUUAUUAUUGGCGGUGCAUUUACGUUGACAGAUGCUACACUUGAGACUUUGUUGUUUUUAUCUUCAGCAUAUUUGACUCACUGCUCUCUCGACGAGAAUCAUUUUUCUCGCGUCUUCAAAUUUGGUAGCUUUUUCGAUAGAAACGUUCGAUUCAGAAGUGCCGUUUUCCACCUGCGGACACAUGGCCAAUUUUAGCCAAGGCCGGUUUUCUCGCAACUCACGUGGCAGGAGGAUGGAGCACCCUUGGAGGCUUUACCACAGGCAAAUUAAUUUAUGGCUUUAUACGACUGCUAGCUAUCACUACCGAGAGGAUAACAGCUCGUUUUGAGUAUUAUUGAUUUUAACUCUGUUCAAAUUACAUAGUUAAAUAAAUUGAUAUGUAUCUUUUUGUUUCAUUCAAUUUCCAUUUUCUUUUUAUGAUUCUCCUGGAAAUUUUGAAAGUAAACAAAGGAUACUGCCGUAUAGAAAUAAAAGAGUAAUAUGCAUUACAAUGGA